rnacentral:rRNA from 1 species
UACAGAGGGUGCGAGCGUUAAUCGGAAUUACUGGGCGUAAAGCGUGCGUAGACGGCUAUCUAAGUCGGGUGUGAAAGCCCCGGGCUCAACCUGGGAAUUGCAUUCGAGACUGAAUAGCUAGGGUGCGGUAGAGGGAAGCGGAAUUUCCGGUGUAGCGGUGAAAUGCGUAGAUAUCGGAAGGAACAUCAGUGGCGAAAGCGGCUUCCUGG